rnacentral:lncRNA from 1 species
UGUUUUACUUUGUCUAUUUCAAAUUAUGAUGGUUGGAAUAUUUGUAAUAAGUAGUGACUAUUUUACUUUUGUUUUGUUUUGCGAGGACCACUGUUAUUAACUAUAGGACUCGAUUGGAUUUACCUUACAAAUUCCGAUGCCUUGGCCCAGGUACUCUCAAAUAUAUAUAUCUCCAAAUCUUUAGAUAUUGAAGUACGUAACAACUGCUUUAAGUUUUGUACAUUUAUCUUGGGGCGUAAUUAACUUGAGCUUGAAGUUCUCCGGGUUCAAUUUCAAUCUCAAGUUAAUUAGGUUUUAUUAGACAAUUCGUUUUGUUGUACUUUGUCUAUUUCAAAUUAUGAUGGUUUGAAUUUUUGUGUAAUAAGUAGUGAC